rnacentral:rRNA from 1 species
UAGGGAAUCUUCGGCAAUGGACGAAAGUCUGACCGAGCAACGCCGCGUGAGUGAAGAAGGUUUUCGGAUCGUAAAACUCUGUUGUUAGAGAAGAACAAGGACGUUAGUAACUGAACGUCCCCUGACGGUAUCUAACCAGAAAGCCACGGCUAACUACGUGCCAGCAGCCGCGGUAAUACGUAGGUGGCAAGCGUUGUCCGGAUUUAUUGGGCGUAAAGCGAGCGCAGGCGGUUUCUUAAGUCUGAUGUGAAAGCCCACGGCUCAACCGUGGAGGGUCAUUGGAAACUGGAAAACUUGAGUGCAGAAGAGGAAAGUGGAAUUCCAUGUGUAGCGGUGAAAUGCGCAGAGAUAUGGAGGAACACCAGUGGCGAAGGCGACUUUCUGGUCUGUAACUGACGCUGAUGUGCGAAAGCGUGGGGAUCAAACAGG